rnacentral:rRNA from 1 species
GUCGAGAAUCUUCCGCAAUGCGCGAAAGCGUGACGGAGCGACACCGCGUGAUGGAUGAAGUCCUUCGGGGCGUAAACAUCUUUUAUAAAGGAGGAAAUUUUUGACGUUACUUUAUGAAUAAGGGGCUCCCAAUCUCGUGCCAGCAGGAGCGGUAAUACGAGAGCCUCAAGCGUUAUCCGGAAUCAUUGGGCGUAAAGGGUGCGUAGGUGGUUUGAUUAGUCUCCCGUUAAAACUUCGAGCUUAACUCGAAAAGAGCGGGGGAAACGGUCAAACUAGAGUAUGUGAGAGGUGUGUGGAACUCCUGGUGUAGGGGUGAAAUCCGUUGAUAUCAUGGGGAACACCAAAAGCGAAGGCAGCACACUGGCACAUCACUGACACUGAGGCACGAAACCUAAGGUAGCGAAUGGGAUUAGAUACCCCAGUAGUCC